AUCAUUCGUGGGCGGGCCUCUGGGUAACAUUCAUCGCUGCGCAGUACAACCGGCUUUAAACAUCAAAAUAUCGCGAGAGAGAUUUGAACGAUCUGCGUGUGAGUAUCAAAAAACAUGUUCUCGCGAUAUUUGAUGUCAUAUACCUAGAAGAUCUGCGCAGGACCGCAAAAAGUCGAACGCACCUCACGGUUCAACUCCCAGAACACACUAGUAAUGUGUAGUAAUUCUGUUAAAAUAUUCCCUGAGCCGUAAUUAUUUACGAAAACCGCAUGCCUAUAAGGUUUAACACGUUGUAUAAUACAACGGUACGUCUGAUGUCACCAUGAAGAGAUUUUACACGUGCAGUUGCUUUAUCACAGAUAACAUUUUUCUUGAAGAAUACAAACUGCACGUCCGUUUUGUCUCAGAGAGCCAGUUCAAGAAGGACUUCCAAAACAUCUUGAGAAGUUCAGGAUGCGUGACUGAAUCUCAGUUCAGCGACGUACUCGUAAAGAUUCAUGCAGAAAUCGUGAGACGACAGAAUCAUGAAUUCAAGUCAGCAGAGAGGACUGCUGCCAUCAAGGAGAUCUAUAAACCUCUACAUCAACAUGUUUAUAAUUUACAGGAGACUUUCCUGGCCCCAGAGUUUUUACAGAUGGUGAAGUACUGUUCUUCAAGUGAAGCUACAGUAGAUGGACUGAUUAAGCUCAUCCAAAAAGAGGCAGCACAAAGAGUCUAUCGGUUUCCAGUAUUCCGAAGGGAAUUUUGCAAGGACCUUAUAAAUGAGCUGGAGCAUUUUGAACAGUCGAAUGCACCGAAGGGGAGACCAAACACCAUGAACAAUUAUGGGAUUCUCCUUAAUGAACUGGGUUUUGAUGAGAGCUUCAUCACCCCGCUGAGAGAGGUCUAUCUGCGCCCACUCACAGCUCUGCUCUUCAGUGACUGUGGGGGAAACUGUCUGGACAGUCACAAAGCUUUCGUGGUGAAAUACGCAAUGCAUGAAGACUUGGACCUUAGCUAUCACUACGACAAUGCUGAAGUCACUCUCAACGUUUCACUGGGGAAAGAGUUUACGGAGGGGAACCUGUUCUUUGGAGAUAUGAGACAGGUUCCUUUAAGUGAGACUGAGUGUGUGGAGGUGGAGCAUCACGUAACCGAGGGUCUGCUUCACAGGGGUCAGCACAUGCAUGGAGCUUUGCCCAUCUCCUCAGGUACACGAUGGAAUCUGAUUAUAUGGAUGCGAGCCUCACGUGAGAGGAACAAACUCUGCCCCAUGUGUGUUUUGGGUGUCAUAAGCAGGAAAAUAGAGGGAAAGGAAGGAAAAGCAAAUGAUUGUUUGAAGAACGGCAACACUAAAGACCCACAGGAUUAACAUCCGUGUCGUCAUAGUCUGACUCCAUCUCAAUCUUCACCUGAGGCAUAGGACAGGACAUCCCUCUAGCCAUUGGCAUCGCUGGGGAUGACGGACAGGAGAUCUUCAAGUGUAGAGUGAUGCUGUGGAAUGGCAACGUCCAGUUACAAGAGUGAGGAAGAGUGGUGGGAUAGGGAUGAACGAGAGUAGAGAAGGAUAUCGUCCAACCAUGCCAGAUCGUGCUGAGAAAAAACCAUGUCCAACAUCUUACGCACCACCAUGAGACCAAGAAUCUGUGGGAUUGAGGCAGAAACUUUUUGUGGAAGAUAAUAGCCAGGAAUGUGGAUUUAAGGAUCCAGAGCAGAGCUAAGCACACAAUCUGCACCAAUGUAAACAGGUGGACUCUUCUCAGGGGUACAUGACGCAGUUCACCUGCAGGAUGGGAGCAAGGAAGAUAGACACUCCUGUUAGAACAAAGACCAGGAUUCCUGUCAAUCUCUGUUCUCUGGAAUUGGAGGAGAAACAGUCAGAAAGGGAAAAGCUGAGAUGUGUAACGUAGAAGGUAUAUUGAAAAAAAAACAUGCAGCUGCUAUGCCUGUCUCACCUCACACCCAGGAACUGUGGCUGCUCCCCUGGAGCACUGGAUUCACUCUCCAUUUUAAGUGAAUCGAUGUGGGCAAUGGAAAUGACGGUGGCAGCCACAUACCACGGCAGACCCAAAAACGAGCAGGUUACCAACAGAAUGCCCACCCACAGCAGGUCCAAAUGAUACCCGCAGGCUUUCUUUAACAGACAGAGAGAAUGGAAAAAAUCAAUAGUGAUGAAUUGAACAGGGAUGGUCCGACUCAUCACCACUGAAUCUUUUGAGAAAGACAGUUAACCGCAGGUUUCCGUUUUAUGCUUGUUUUCCUUGCGGUUGACGAUGACAGCACUGAUCUGCUGAUCCAUAAACAUGAGGAUGGUGACAAGAAGAGCAGGAACAAAGCUUGCCAGAUAAACCCACCACGGAUUCUUUCCAAACGGCAUCACAAACCAACCCCGAUCUGAACGAGUGGGCUGCAUGAAUCAUAAAGCACAUAAAAUACACCACUGAGAAAAAAAUUGGUAUUAAGUGUAUGGGAUUGGUACUCUAUGUACUCUUGCUGUACCUUGAACUCUGUGGGCACAAUGAGUUUGGGUGUGUUUAGACCAACAAGCAUGUCCAAGCCCACAAACGUCAUGAUGGACAUGAAGAUGGAAAAGUCACUUAUCAAUUUCCUCAGCUGGAAAGAAAAGGAUAUAAAUAAAUAUGAAUAAACAAACUGCAAGAAA